UGCGAUCUAGGCGAUGAGGCUCGCCUUGGAACCGCCCUUCGGGCUGAUGGCCUCUAGGGAAGC
rnacentral:ncRNA from 2 species